CCAAUAGCGUAUAUUAAAGUUGUUGUGGUUAAAAAGCUCGUAGUUGAACCUUGGGCCUGGCUGGCCGGUCCGCCUCACCGCGUGUACUGGUCCGGCCGGGCCUUUCCCUCUGUGGAACCUCAUGCCCUUCACUGGGUGUGACGGGGAAGCAGGACUUUUACUGUGAAAAAAUUAGAGUGCUCCAAGCCGGCCUAUGCUCGAAUACAUUAGCAUGGAAUAAUGAAAUAGGACGUGCGGUUCUAUUUUGUUGGUUUCUCGGACCGCCGUAAUGAUUAAUAGGGACAGUCGGGGGCAUCAGUAUUCAAUUGUCAGAGGUGAAAUUCUUGGAUUUAUUGAAGACUAACUACUGCGAAAGCAUUUGCCAAGGAUGUUUUCAUUAAUCAGGAACGAAAGUUAGGGGAUCGAAGACGAUCAGAUACCGUCGUAGUCUUAACCAUAAACGAUGUCGACCAGCGAUCCGUCGUCGUUACUUUAAUGACUCGACGGGCAGCUUCCG
rnacentral:misc_RNA from 1 species